UUGUGGAGGAGGACGCCGAAGGUGGGGCUAAUGACUGGGGUGAAGUCGUAACAAGGUAGCCGUACCGGAAGGUGCGGCUGGAUCACCUCCUAACAGGGAGACAACAAAAUGUUUAAUAUUAUUAUUUUGUCACCUUAGGUCGAUCGGUAUCUCACAUUCUUAAUUUAUUAAGGAUUUUAUUUCCUAAGUUUUUCUAGGUCACACCCAUUAUUUUUCCUGGGCCAUUAGCUCAGGUGGUUAGAGCGCACCCCUGAUAAGGGUGAGGUCCCUGGUUCAAGUCCAGGAUGGCCCAUAUCUCUAUGUUGGGGGUAUAGCUCAGUUGGUAGAGCGCCUGCUUUGCAAGCAGGAUGUCAGCGGUUCGAGUCCGCUUACCUCCACUGAUUACCACCUCUUCCAUAAUGUUAUAGAGGAAAUGUUUUGAGUUGUGAUCAAAUUCUGAACGAUUCUAGCUUCCUAAUGAAUUCAUUAAGAUGCUGGACUCAUUGAAUUAAUUUCACUGUUUUCAGAGAACCUUGACAACUGCAUAGAUUAUUUUUAAAGACAAUAAGCAUCUUUAAUGAUGCAGAUUUAUUAUUUGUGCGAAUGCAUUUAAUAACAAUUCUAUUAAGCUGAUGCUUCAAUUAUUGAAGUUAUUGGUCAAGCUACAA
rnacentral:misc_RNA from 1 species